rnacentral:rRNA from 1 species
CUACGGGUGGCUGCAGUGGGGAAUAUUGGACAACGGGGGAAACCCUGAUCCAGCAAUGCCGCGUGUGUGAAGAAGGCCUGCGGGUUGUAAAGCACUUUCGGUUGGGAGGACUGCUUCUAGCACUAAUAUUGUUGGAAGUUGACGUUACCUUCAGAAGAAGCACCGGCUAACUCCGUGCCAGCAGCCGCGGUAAUACGGAGGGUGCAAGCGUUAAUCGGAAUUACUGGGCGUAAAGCGCGCGUAGGCGGCUAGAUCAGUCGGGUGUGAAAGCCCCGGGCUUAACCGGGGAACUGCGUCCGAUACUGUCUAGCUUGAGUACAGGAGAGGAGAGUGGAAUUCCACAUGUAGCGGUGAAAUGCGUAGAUAUGUGGAGGAACACCAAUGGCGAAGGCAGCUCUCUGGCCUGAUACUGACGCUGAGGUGUGAAAGCGUGGGGAGCAAACAGGAUUAGAUACCCUUGUAGUC